GCUGGGUGGAUUAGUGGCGAACGGGUGAGUAACACGUGAGUAACCUGCCCCUGACUCUGGGAUAAGCGUUGGAAACGACGUCUAAUACUGGAUAUGACUGCCGGCCGCAUGGUCUGGUGGUGGAAAGAUUUUUUGGUUGGGGAUGGACUCGCGGCCUAUCAGCUUGUUGGUGAGGUAAUGGCUCACCAAGGCGACGACGGGUAGCCGGCCUGAGAGGGUGACCGGCCACACUGGGACUGAGACACGGCCCAGACUCCUACGGGAGGCAGCAGUGGGGAAUAUUGCACAAUGGGCGAAAGCCUGAUGCAGCAACGCCGCGUGAGGGAUGACGGCCUUCGGGUUGUAAACCUCUUUUAGUAGGGAAGAAGSGUAAGUGACGGUACCUGCAGAAAAAGCACCGGCNUAACUACGUGCCAGCAGNCCGCGGUAAUACGUAGGGUGCAAGCGUUGUNCCGGAAUUAUUGGGCGUAAAGAGCUCGUAGGCGGUUUGUCGCGUCUGCUGUGAAAUCCCGAGGCUCAACCUCGGGCUUGCAGUGGGUACGGGCAGACUAGAGUGCGGUAGGGGAGAUUGGAAUUCCUGGUGUAGCGGUGGAAUGCGCAGAUAUCAGGAGGAACACCGAUGGCGAAGGCAGAUCUCUGGGCCGUAACUGACGCUGAGGAGCGAAAGCGUGGGGAGCGAACAGGAUUAGAUACCCUGGUAGUCCACGCCGUAAACGUUGGGCGCUAGAUGUAGGGACCUUUCCACGGUUUCUGUGUCGUAGCUAACGCAUUAAGCGCCCCGCCUGGGGAGUACGGCCGCAAGGCUAAAACUCAAAGGAAUUGACGGGGGCCCGCACAAGCGGCGGAGCAUGCGGAUUAAUUCGAUGCAACGCGAAGAACCUUACCAAGGCUUGACAUACACCGGAAACGGCCAGAGAUGGUUGCCCCCUUGUGGUCGGUGUACAGGUGGUGCAUGGUUGUCGUCAGCUCGUGUCGUGAGAUGUUGGGUUAAGUCCCGCAACGAGCGCAACCCUCGUUCUAUGUUGCCAGCGCGUUAUGGCGGGGACUCAUAGGAGACUGCCGGGGUCAACUCGGAGGAAGGUGGGGAUGACGUCAAAUCAUCAUGCCCCUUAUGUCUUGGGCUUCACGCAUGCUACAAUGGCCGGUACAAAGGGCUGCGAUACCGUAAGGUGGAGCGAAUCCCAAAAAGCCGGUCUCAGUUCGGAUUGAGGUCUGCAACUCGACCUCANGAANNCGGAGNCGC
rnacentral:rRNA from 1 species